rnacentral:tRNA from 1 species
GCUCCCUUCGUCUAGUGGCCUAGGACGCCGCCCUCUCACGGCGUAAACAGGGGUUCGAGUCCCCUAGGGAGCG